GCCGACGCCGCGCUCUGCGCCUAUUCCCGCCUCCGCCUCCCCCACCUCGCCGCCCAGCUCCUCCACUCCCUCCGCCGCCGCAUCCGCGUCCGCCCCUCCCUCCAGGCCGCCAACGCCGUCCUCUCCGCGCUCGCGCGUAGCCCCUCCACCUCCCCGCAGGCCUCCCUCGACGCCUUCCGCUCUCUCAUCGCGCUCCGCCUCCACCCCAACCACUACACCUUCAACCUCCUCGUGCACACCCACUGCUCCAAGGGCACCCUCGCCGACGCCCUCGCCACGCUCUCCACCAUGCAGGGGUUCGGCCUCUCCCCCGACGCCGUCACCUACAACACGCUCCUCCACGCGCACUGCCGGAAGGGCAUGCUCGGUGAGGCGAGGACGCUGCUGGCGAGAAUGAAGAAAGAGGGGAUCACGCCCACACGGCCGACGUACAAUACCCUUGUGUCGGCUUACGCAAAGCUGGGGUGGAUUAAGCAGGCGACCAAGGUCUUGGAGGCCAUGACAGCCAACGGGCUGGAGCCUGACUUGUGGACGUACAAUGUGCUUAUCGCUGGGCUGUGCCAGGCAGAGAAGGUGGAUGAGGCGUUUAGGCUGAAGGAUGAGAUGGAGCUGCUUGGCACUUUGCUGCCUGAUGUAGUGACCUACAAUACACUCGCUGAUGCGUGCUUUAAGUGGAGGUGUUCGUCUGAUGCACUGAGGCUGCUCGAGGAAAUGCGUGAGAAGGGAGUGAAGCCGACUUUGGUCACACAUAACAUUGUUAUCAAGGGGCUCUGCAAGGAUGGGGAAUUGGAGGAGGCGUUGUUGUGUUUGAAGAAGAUGGCAGAUGAAGGUUUAGCACCAGAUGUGAUCACGUAUAAUACGUUGAUUGAUGUAUACUGCAAGGCUGGCAAUGUCGCCAAAGCAUUUGCACUAAUGGAUGAGAUGGUUGGUAGGGGACUCAAAUUGGACACCUUCACACUUAAUACCGUGCUAUAUAAUCUAUGCAAGGAGAAGCGUUAUGAAGAGGCUCAAGGGCUGCUACAAUCUCCAUCCCAAAGGGGUUUUGUGCCCGAUGAAGUCAGCUAUGGCACAGUGAUGGCAGCCUACUUCAAUGAGUAUAAUCCGGAGCCUGCUCUGCGUCUGUGGGAUGAGAUGAUUCAGAGGAAGUUGACACCAACUAUUUCGACUUACAACACAUUGAUCAAGGGGCUUGGCAGAAUGGGGAGGUUGAAAGAGGCGAUUGAUAAGUUGAAUGAGCUCAUGGAGAAGGGGUUGGUACCAGAUGACACCACGUACAAUAUCGUCAUCCAUGCCUACUGCAAGGAAGGGGACUUGGAGAAUGCCUUCCAGUUCCACAACAAGAUGGUGGAAAAUUCCUUUAAGCCAGAUGUUGUUACUUGCAACACUUUGAUGAAUGGACUGUGUCUGCAGGGGAAGCUUGACAAAGCAAUGAAGCUCUUUGACUCAUGGGUAGAGAAAGGGAAGAAGGUUGAUGUUAUCACAUAUAACACCCUAAUACAUACUAUGUGCAAAAAUGGGGAUGUUGAAGCUGCUUUGCAUUUUCUCGCUGAUAUGGAAGUCAGAGGAUUGCAGCCUGACGCGUUUACUUACAAUGUUGUGUUAUCUGCACUAUCUGAGGCAGGGAGACCAGAAGAAGCACAUAGUAUGCUGCAUAAGUUAUCUGAGAGUGGAAAAUUGUCUCAAAGCUUUUCUUCUCCCCUCUUGAAGCCUUCUUCUGUAGAUGAAACAGAGUCAGGGAAGGAUCACGAGGGUAAUACUGAGGAAGAAACUGGUGGAAAUCCACAAGAUAGUGCUCUGGAGGCCUACACGAAACGCGUAAAUGAGCUAUGCACCGGUGGGCAAUUCAAAGAAGCUAAGGCCAUUUUGGAUGAGAUGAUGCAAAAGGGAAUGUCUGUUGACAGUUCAACGUAUAUAACUUUGAUGGAAGGGCUUAUCAAGAGGCAGAAAAGGCAAACACAUGCAGCUGGGUAG
rnacentral:rRNA from 1 species